GCUGCUCCAGCAGCUGCUGCAGCUGCAGCUGCUGCUGCUGCAGCUGCUGCAGCAGGAGCAGCUGGCUGUGUAAU
rnacentral:snoRNA from 1 species